rnacentral:rRNA from 1 species
CCUGGUUGAUUCUGCCAGUAGCAUAUGCUUGUCUCAAAGAUUAAGCCAUGCAUGUCUAAGUACACACGGCCGGUACGGUGAAACUGUGACUGUCUCAUUAAAUCAGUUAUGGUUCCUUUGGUUGCUCCAACCGUUAUUUGGAUAACUGUGGUAAUUCUGAGUUAAUACAUGCUGAAGAGCACUGACCUCCAGGGAUGCAUGCAUUUAUCAGACCAAAACCAACCCGGGCUCACCCGCCCGCUUUGGUGACUCUAGAUAACCUCGGGCUGAUCGCACACCCCCAUGGUGGCAACAACGCAUUUGAAUGUCUGCCCUACCAACUUUUGAUGGCACUUUCUGUGCCUACCAUGGUGACCACAGGUAACAGGGAAUCAGGGUUCCUUUCCAGAGAGGGAGCCUGAGAAACGACUCCAAAGAAGGCAGUAGGCACACAAAUUACCCACUUCCAACCCGGGGAGGUAGUGCUGAAAAAUAACAAUACAGGACUUUUUCAAGGCCCUGUAAUUGGAAUGAGUACGCUUUAAAUCCUUUAACAAGGAUCUAUUGCAGGGCAAGUCUGGUGCCAGUAGCCAUGGUAAGUCCAGCUCCAAUAGCGUAUAUUAACAUUGCUGCAGUUAAAAAGUUUGUAGUAAGAUCUUGGGAUCGAGCUGGCAGUCCACCGCGAGGCGAGCUACCGCCUGUCCCAACCCCUGCCUCUCGAUGCUCCCUUGACGUUCUUAACUGAGUGUCCUGGGGAUCCAAAGCAUUUAUUGUGAAAAAAUUAGAGUGUUCAAAGCAGGCUGGUUGCCAGCUAGGAAUAAUGGAAUAGGACUCUGGUUUUAUUUUGUUGGUUUUCAGAACUAGGGCGAUGAUUAAGAGGGACAACCGGGGGCAUUCGUAUUGUGCCGCUAGAGGUGAAAUUCUUGGACCGGUGCAAGAUGAACCAGAAUGAAAGCAUUUGCCAAGAAUGUUUUCAUUAAUCAAGAAUGAAAGUCGGAGGUUCGAAGACAAUCAGAUACCAUAGUAGUUCUGACCAUAAAUGAUGCCAACUAGCUGUCCGGAGGCGUUAUUCCCAUGACUCGCUGGGGAGUUUUUGGGAAACCAAAGUCUUUGGGUUCUGGGGGGAAUAUGGUUGCAAAGCUGAAACUUAAAGGAAUUGACGGAAGGGCACCACCAGGAGUGGAGCCUGCGGUUUAAUUUGACUCAACACGGGAAACCUCACCGGGCCCAGUUACAGAAAGGAUUGACAGAUUGAUAGCUCUUUCUUGAUUCUGUGGGUGGUGGUGCAUGGCUGUUCUUAGUUGGUGGAAUGAUUUGUCUGGUUAAUUCCAAUAACGAAUGAGACUCUGGCAUGCUAACUAGUUAUGCGACCCCCAAGCGGUCGGCGUCCAACUUCUUAAAGGAACCAGUGGCGUUCAGCCACCUAAGUUUGAGCAUUAACAGGUCUGUGAAGCCCUUAGAUGUCUGGGGCUGCACAUGCGCUGCACUGACUGGCUCAGCGUGUGUCUACCCUACGCCAACACGUGCCGGUAACCUGUUGAACCCCAUUUGUGAUGGGGAUUGGGGAUUGCAAUUAUUCCCCAUGAACAAGGAAUUUCCAGUAAGUGCGAGUCAUAAGCUCGCAUUGAUUAAGUCCCUGCCCUUUGUACAUGCCACUCGUUGCUACUACCGAUUGGAUGGUUUAGUGAGGUCCUUGGAUUGGCCCCGCCAGGGUCGGUCAUGGCCCAGGAAGAGUGCUGAUAAGACAGUCGAACGUGACUAUCUAGAGGAAGUAAAAGUCGCAACAAGGUUUCCGUAGGUGAACCUGCGGAAG